rnacentral:lncRNA from 1 species
GGUAGGCCGGUUGCUCCCGAGAAAGUAGCAAAGAAGUACGUGAGUCAGAUCAGGGCAAUCGUCCGGAACAACAUGCCUAUCAGCAUCAGAGAAUGGAAGGGCAGAAGCACUAAUCCGUAUGCCCUCCCGGAGAUAGAAAAGAAUAAGCUGUGGGAAGACGUCAAGAGACAUUUCACAUUCCCCGAAGGAUAUAUUGAAAAGGAUGUGAAAGCGUGGACGCUGAAGAAG